rnacentral:lncRNA from 1 species
UUUCUUGACGCCCACAAUGAGGGCUUGGGGCAGCCGUUUGGUGCCUGGCUUCGGGGAGCCAGAGUGAUUGGAUCCGGAGAGGCGCGGUGCUGGAGCGGCAGCGGCGGGCGCGCUGGGAGCGCUGGGCUCACUGGGCGUCGGCCCCGGGGGAUCACACGGGCGGGACUUCGCCAGAAGUUUCUGGCCGCUUGCGCUGGGGCCGCGGAGGCAGCGCGGUGCGCCGAGCAGGCGGCUCUGGCCCAGACCGUCGCAGCAGCACAGGAAGCUGUAACACAGCAGAGCCUGCAUCUGAUUGAGGUGUCACUGACGGCGCUGGAUGGAGGAGGGAGCGGUUGAAUCACAGCCUCGAGAACACAUGAGAAAGCUUCCCAGCCAUCUCUCCAUCAGGCUAAUGAUCCAAAGAAUACUGAGGAGGCAGAAUGCUUCCCAGCAUUAGUCUCAAUUAUUAAAUCCUGGAGAAAGAGUAUGAUUUGUGCAUUAUGGGACUGUAACUCACCUCUACCACCUUGACAGUGAUUGACACUCUCAAAUCCUACACCAAGGGUUUGGGUAGCUGUCCAAAGAGAUACAGAAGUACAACGGCUCCAAAAUGAACCAUGAGUCCAGGGCAGACAUGAGGAACAGCAUCUCCUACAAGCU